rnacentral:rRNA from 1 species
AUUGAACGCUGGCGGCAUGCUUUACACAUGCAAGUCGAACGGUAACAGGCCGCAAGGUGCUGACGAGUGGCGAACGGGUGAGUAAUGCAUCGGAACGUGCCCAGUCGUGGGGGAUAACGCAGCGAAAGCUGUGCUAAUACCGCAUACGAUCUAUGGAUGAAAGCGGGGGACCGUAAGGCCUCGCGCGAUUGGAGCGGCCGAUGUCAGAUUAGGUAGUUGGUGGGGUAAAGGCUCACCAAGCCAACGAUCUGUAGCUGGUCUGAGAGGACGACCAGCCACACUGGGACUGAGACACGGCCCAGACUCCUACGGGAGGCAGCAGUGGGGAAUUUUGGACAAUGGGCGCAAGCCUGAUCCAGCAAUGCCGCGUGCAGGAAGAAGGCCUUCGGGUUGUAAACUGCUUUUGUACGGAACGAAACGGUCUGGGUUAAUACCCUGGGCUAAUGACGGUACCGUAAGAAUAAGCACCGGCUAACUACGUGCCAGCCGCCGCAGUAAAAC